GGAGAGGUGGCCGAGAGGCUGAAGGCACUGGUUUGCUAAACCAGCAUACGGAGCAAUCUGUAUCAGGGGUUCAAAUCCCCUCCUCUCCG
rnacentral:tRNA from 1 species